rnacentral:lncRNA from 1 species
ACUUGUCCGUGAUUUACUCAUUAGCAACGUCAGCGCGGGCCUUCUCGACGAUGUGUGGCCAUGCCUCUCUGCAGCAGGCGUAUACUGGACCUUCUUGACCCGGGUUCAGGCCGGCCUCCGACUUGCAGUAGUCAAAGAAUUUCUUCUUCAACUUGUACCUCUUUUCUGAGAUUGUUUUCGAGUCCAAGUUGCCACGGUAGAUCGGCUGGUAAUUCUUCACGAACUCAACAUAGAGCGUCGACGACGGUACGAUUAUGUCGUUCAAGCCGUCGCUGAGGAGCCCAUGGAGAUGUGGUGAAUAGCCUGCAGAUGUCUCUUUCAUGCCAAUAGCUAUAAGGGCCUCGCUGCGACUUACUUGCGAAGGCCGAAGAGACAUUGUCGUUGUGGUCUUCAGUGUGGUUGUCGUCGCCGUCGGAGUAGCCUCCAGCGUCAUCAUCUCCAUUGGACUCGCCGGCGCCUUCAACGAUGGUGUCCGAUGCGCCGCUGGGGUUGCCCACCGCAGCCACGGACGUGGCGUCAUCAGCGUAGACCGCAUUUUCCUCUUUGCCAGAGCCGAUGUAGAUAUGCGUGUUGCCGCCGCUGCGUGAGUCGACGUCGAUCACCUCCAUAUGGAUAUGGAUGGAUGACUUGGGCUGGUUACCGUGAUGGUUGCUUGGGAGCGGAGGUAUGGCUUUGGCUGGUUGCCGUGAUGGUUGUUUAGGCAGUGCACGGAGGCAUGCCCAUAUAUAUACUGUACGCGAUAUAUUUCCUGGCGGGAACAACUAAAAGUUCUGGCGCCACAUGCAUUC